rnacentral:tRNA from 1 species
GGGUUUGUGGCUCAGUGGUAGAGCACUUGCCUAGCAUGCAUGAGGCACUGGGUUAGAUUCCCGGCACCA